CUUUAGUAGCGGACGGGUGAGUAACGCGUAAGAAUUUACCUUUAGGAAGGGAACAACAUUUAGAAAUGAAUGCUAAUGCCCUAUAUGCUUUUAUCUACUUGAGUUGAUAAAAGUGAAAUGAAUUAUAUUCGCCUGAAGAAAAGCUUGCGUCUGAUUAGCUAGUUGGCAGGGUAAUAGCCUACCAAGGCGACGAUCAGUAGCUGGUUUGAGAGGAUGACCAGCCACACUGGAACUGAGACACGGCCCAGACUCC
rnacentral:rRNA from 1 species